AUCACCUCUUUCUCUCCCACAGGGCUAUGGCAUGGCAUACACUGUCCACAAGUGGUCAGAGCUCAGCUGGGCCAGUCACUGGGUCACUUUUGGAUGCUGGAUCUUCUACCGUCUCAUAGGCUGAGGCACAUCUGUGGACCCUCAUAACCCUCUUAAGACCCCUCUCAGGGUGCCACUGAUGGGGGAUGAGGGAAGGCCCUCUCUCUACUCCCUGACCCCCUCCAUCCUUGACCCCCAACACCUCAAGACACACACACACACACACACACACACAAAUCACACCAUUUCCAUGCCUGUCAAUCCCCACCCCACCACAAGGCGGGAAGGGGGUGGUCCCUGUUGGGGCCUAGGGGUGGGGGAUGCUUGGGGAAACAGAGAGGGGGAGAUCCAGGGCCUCCUCGCCUUCCUUCUUCCUUUUUAUAUACAAUUUGUUAUUGUCAAAUAAAAGUAGGAAAUAUACAGUAGGCUUCUUCUUCACUGCUCAGAGGCGAAUAGGAGUGAGUGAGGAAGGGGACACAGCAUGGAUAAAGGUUUGGAAGCUGGAAACCAUGAGGAGAGAGCAGACUGUGAUUGGUUCAUGGUUAGUUUGUGAUUGUUUGAUUAGAUGAAGAGCCUGAAGAUGGCAGGAUCCUGGUCCUGCUUGGUUUGAUUAGGGCAGGGACAGAUUGCAUAGUUCGAUGUGGGGGAGGCCUGACUGGCUGGAAAACUGAAGGAUCCCCAUUCUGAUUGGUUGCUCUGAGUGGGACACAGAGGAGAGAGAGCAAGAGAGAUGAAGGGGGUUGGUGCCUAUUUGUCCUUAGGACUGAGGGUUGUGGGUUCUAAUUGGAUGGGAGGUCUGGGAUGGGUCUGGAUUCUGAUUGAUUGCUCCAUCUGGGGGCCCACUAGUGGUUAGGCGUUUGAUUGGCUUUUUAGAACUGGCACACGGAGAUUGAGGGUCUUCAUGCCAAUUGGUCAGUAGGACUGAGAGGCCUGGGUUCUGAUUCGUUCUUCUGACUUGAGGUCGGGAGAAGAGAGAAUGACCGCUGCUAUUAGGACUGAGGAGUUCUGAGCACUGAAGAGCUGGGGAGGGGGUGGUUGCAGUGUAUAGCAUGUGAUCUGCCUGUAACAGUUUCUUUGCAUCAUGCUGAGGGUUACUCUACUUAGAAAAGGGCGGAGGUGAAAGGAUGCAACGCAACGCUAAUUUCACCAGCGGAAGAAGAGGAUACACACCUUAAUGAGUCCCUGUUUUGAUCGACUGAUAAGGGAAUGAGGAAAUUGAAGCCAGGACUCGAUGCAGAGUGGUUACGGAUCCAAAACGCCCACUAACCUUGGCCCGCCCCAGUCUCCACCCCAAACCUGACUCAGGCAAGAGAACCCAAGAGGGGAUGAGACCGAACUGGGGAUGUGACAGAGCGCGAGAGCCAGCCUGGAAAGGUCCCGGAGCCUGUGUGGGAGGCCGCUGCCGUCGCGCGGCUGGGUCGUGCUGCGGUUGUCCCACUGGGGACUUGGCGGCGACUGUCCCUGUGCUGGUUUGUAGUGUGUGGGUUCAUUCACCUGGUGAUCGAGGGCUGGUUCAUUCUCUACUACGAGGACCUGCUUGGAGACCAAGCCUUCUUAUCUCAACUCUGUGAGU